rnacentral:rRNA from 1 species
UACAGAGGGUGCGAGCGUUAAUCGGAAUUACUGGGCGUAAAGCGUGCGUAGACGGUCAAGUAAGUCGGGUGUGAAAGCCCCGGGCUCAACCUGGGAAUUGCAUUCGAGACUGCGUGGCUAGGGUGCGGAAGAGGGAAGCGGAAUUUCCGGUGUAGCGGUGAAAUGCGUAGAUAUCGGAAGGAACACCGAUGGCGAAGGCAGCCCCCUGGGCUGACACUGACGCUCAGGCACGAAAGCGUGGGGAGCAAA